rnacentral:rRNA from 1 species
CUUCCAGACUCCUACGGGAGGCAGCAGUGGGGGAUAUUGCACAAUGGGGGAAACCCUGAUGCAGCGACGCCGCGUGGGUGAAGAAGCGCCUCGGCGCGUAAAGCCCUGUCAGCAGGGAAGAAAAUGACGGUACCUGAAGAAGAAGCCCCGGCUAACUACGUGCCAGCAGCCGCGGUAAUACGUAGGGGGCAAGCGUUAUCCGGAUUUACUGGGUGUAAAGGGGGCGCAGACGGCGAUGCAAGCCAGGAGUGAAAGCCCGGGGCCCAACCCCGGGACUGCUCUUGGAACGGGGGGGCUGGAGUGCAGGAGGGGAAGGCGGAAUUCCUGGGGUGGCGGGGAAAUGCGUAGAUAUCAGGAGGAACACCGGUGGCGAAGGCGGCCUGCUGGACUGAAAUUGACGUUGAGGCCCGAAAGCGUGGGGAGCAAACAGGAU